UACGGAGGGUGCAAGCGUUAUCCGGAUUCACUGGGUUUAAAGGGUGCGUAGGUGGGUUGGUAAGUCAGUGGUGAAAUCUCCAGGCUUAACUUGGAAACUGCCAUUGAUACUAUCAAUCUUGAAUACCGUGGAGGUCAGCGGAAUAUGUCAUGUAGCGGUGAAAUGCUUAGAUAUGACAUAGAACACCAAUUGCGAAGGCAGCUCGCUAAACCAUAACUGACGCUGAUGCACGAAAGCGUGGGGAGCAAACAGG
rnacentral:rRNA from 1 species